AUUUGGAUGAUACGGGUUUCGAGUUCACUACGACGGGAAGAUUAUAACCGUCCACGAGGCUUACAUCGUAGAAAUUAGGUUUGGAUUUGUCGGCUUGUACCGCAAUUUGAAUAAGUGUUGCCGGAGGUUUUCCGAUUAAUCCAUUACACUCCAGAUGUCCAUCACAAUCACCUAAAUUUCGUUGUAAUUCAAAAUUAGUUUAUAUGAUUCUAACUAAUCUUGUGUAU
rnacentral:sRNA from 1 species